GUUCAGUCACACAACAAAAUCGGUUGUCCCCACAGGCCCUGGUGGGAUGUCAGCAUUAUCCUUUCCAUGUUUUGGUGUGGGAAAUGGAAUUGCAGGGAAGCUAGGUUUGGAGUAACUUGUAUCCCUGGGAUGAUGGAAGUGGCUGCAAGACAAGAAGCCCGGUUCAUAGCCCAGCAUCCCUGAUGGACGGGCCUCACUGCUACUGCAGUAGGACAAAGUAGACUCUGAAGGGGCUUCGCAAUAGCAAAAGGAAGCAACCACAGGACUUGCUUUGGUGGCCUUGAGGGAGCCAAGAUGGCCGCAGUCAGACACAUUUAAGCUUGCUGCAAGCAGAUGCGGGCUGAGUGGCCAGUAUAAACUGAAGUGCACUUUCGGGGCCCACCUUCUACGUUAGGCACCAUUUGGACACUGCCAUAGAGAUGUGUGUUGUCUGAUGAAAAAAGCACUACCCUUGUGAACAGAAUAGCCUGGGGUCCUGCACCUGCUUCUCACCCACUGAUUAACCUUGGACAAGGUAAUCACAGACCCUGAACCCCCAUGCAUAAAAUGGCAUGACACGCCCCCACCCCAGCAUAUGCCACCAGGCUGGUGAGAUGAGGAAAGCCACAUUUGAGGGGAGUUUAUUAGCUAGGGUGGUUUAGGCACACAGGCAAGGAAUGAGUUCUUAAGAACGUAACUGAGGGCUCGUGCUCUUGUAUAAGAAAUACUUCGUUUGAACUAGUGCUGCCUUCACAGAAGAUCACAUCAUGCAGCCAAAAAAUUAAAAGGAUUGUAAGGGAUAAUGCUGGCUGCAGCCGUCAAUGUGGCCCCAUUGAGAGCAGGAUGAGGACGUUUACAGAUGGAGACAGACACCAUUUCACUGGCAAUUGAAUUAGAAUCAUCAGCUUAGCUCGCUUCUGGUCCCAUCACAGAUUAAUCUAAAUGGCACCCCAAGGAGACAUCAUUUUUUAAGCAGUUUGGGAUUAGAAAAGGUCACACUUCUGAGAACGCUCCAGAGAGAAACACAGUGGUACCAUUGUCUUCUGAAUUCUAGCUUACCCUGAUUUUGUUUGUACUGCAUAAAGUCAGGUCAAGCAGUAUGCCUCAAAUAACUUGGAUUUUUGACAAUUACGCCUUCUUUCAUGGCUGCCUUCCUGCCCUCCCUCUUUCUAUUCCUUUCUCUGUCCUACCUCCCUCCCUUUCUUCUUCUUUCAAUUACAGCCUCUAGUUCAUUGGAUUUGGAAACAAAAUGAAUAUUAUUUGAAGAUUGCAAAGUAUUCAUCAAAACUCAGGUUUUGCCAAAUUAAAUGGCCGCAAACAAACCACAGUCUUUGCCCUGGGAGGAAAGCUGCCUUGAUCACUGUCUCAGCCACAAGAAACAAACACAUUCUUGGGUUUAGCUGACAUGUCCCAUAGAGACCUCAUCCGUUUCUUCACUUUAUGGCACAUGGAUGUACUAGUUAUUUAGCUUUUGCUCAUGUAACUUGUAAAACCUUCUCUAAGUGGCUUAAAAAAACUUCUUGGGUCCCACUCUGUUGCCUAGGCUGGAGUGCAGUGGUGCGAUCAUGGCUCUCUGCAGCUUCAAACUCCUGGGCUCAAGGGAUCAUCACAUCUCAGCCUGUCGAGUAGUUGGGACUACAGGCACGCACCACCAUAUCUGGCUUCUAAGUGGCUCUUGCUCUUUUCAGUUAUUCCUUUCUUUUCUGGUUUUUUUUUUUUUUUUUUUGAGAUGGAGUCUCGCUCUGUUGCCCAGGCUGGAGUGCAGUGACGCAAUCUCAGGUCACUGCAACCUUUGCCCCCCAGGUUCAAUCAAUUCUUGUGCCUCAGCCUCGCCAGUAGCUCGGAUUAACAGGCACAUGCCGCCAUGCCCAGCUAAUUUUUGUAUUUUUAGUAGAGACAGGUUUCACCAUGUUGGCCAGGCUGGUCUCAAACUCCUAACCUUAAGUGAUCCGCCCACCUCAGCCUUCCAAAGUGUUGAGAUUAUGGUGUGAGCCACCGCGCCUGGCUCUUUUCAGUUUUUCAGUCUUUGCUUUCAACUGGAGCACAUUCUCAGCAGCAGCUUUUGCUGUAGCAAGCAGUGUCAACAGCAUCCCUCCGGCAGGUGACUUCCUUGAGUUGGCUUCCUCAACCUCAGCACAACCAACUACUCACAUUUCAGGUGGGACAGUUCUUUGUGUGGGGGCUGUCCUGUACAUUGCAGGGUGUCAGCGGCAUCCCUGGCCCCCAUUAGAUGCCAGUAGUACCCCCUGCCCCAGUCGUCACAACCAAAAAUCUCUCCGGACAUUGCUAAUUCAGAAAAGAGUUCCUUUUUAUUUUUAAAGAGCUAGGUUUUUGUUGCUGUUGUUACAACUCUGUGAUCUUAACAGAUUAAUUUUCUUAGGAAGAAAAACCAUGACUGAGAUAUUUAGCUUCUUCGUUAUAAUUCAAAAUUCACUCAAUCAUUUAUUCACUCAUGUAAUCAACUGUAGGGGCAGCAAAAUUCCACUUCCAUACUCUUAGGGUCCUGCUUGUGCUGGAGAAUUUAACUGACAUAAGACAGAUGAACAGGAGGAAAGCAUGCACAUUUUUAAAUACAAGUUUUAUGUAGCACAGGUACCCUCAUAAGGAAAUAAAGUCCUGAAGAAGUAGUCAGAUAUACUGAAUUGGACAAAUAAUAGUAAGUUGUGAAGAAGCAACUAAAUGAUGUGGGGAGGCUUAAAAGGUAAGAGUUAUUUGCACAAGGUUGGUACAGAAUUCUUUCCAUCUUAGCUUCUCAUCUUUGAGAAUAAGACUGUUGCAUCUUUCACAUAGGGAUCUCAUCUUUUGCUUUUAACAAAUGGCAUGAAGGUCAGAGUGAUCUUCUUGCAUCUGCUAUUUUUCUUUUUCUUGUUUUUUUUUUCGAGACGGAGUCUUGCUCUGUCACCCAGGCUGGAGUGCAGUAAAGCGAUCUCCGCUCACUGCAAGCUCUGCCUUCCGGGUUCACGCCAUUCUCCUGCCUCAGCCUCCCGAGUAGCUAGGACUAUAGGCGCCCACCACCCCGCCAGGCUAAUUUUUUUUUUUUUUUUUUUGUAUCUUUAGUAGAGACAGGGUUUCACCAUAUUAGCCAGGAUGGUCUCGAUCUCCUGACCUCGUGAUCCUCCCGCCUCGGCCUCCCAAAGUGCUGGAAUUACAGGCUGGAGUACGAUGGCACAAUCUCAGCUCACUGCAACUUCUGCCUCCCAGAUACAAGUGAUUCUCCGGCCUCAGCCUUCCAAGUAGCUGGGAUUACAGGCGCCCGCCACCAUGCUUGGCUAAUUUCUGUAUUUUUGGUAGAGAUGAGGUUUCACCAUGUUGGCCAGGAUGGUCUUGAACUCCUGACCUCAGGUGAUCCACCCGCCUCAGCCUCCCAAAGUGCUGGGAUUACAGGCAUGAGCCACCGCACUCGGCCAAGUUUGAUCAUUUUUAAUGUAUUUAUUAUUCGGCUAUGUUUUUCCUUACGUAAAUGUCUUAGACUUUGAAGUGUGAACUCUUCAUAUGUGUAUUCAGGAGCUGGUACUAUUUUAUAUUUGUCAUAAAUAUGCCUCAUGGAUUAAAUUUUGUUUUCUAAUAAUGUUUACGUUGCUGACUGGUAAAAUGACUUCAAUCUUUGUGUAGUCAAAUCUAUCAGUAAAUUUCUUCAUGACUUUUUAUUUCUUUUAAACUUAGAAAUCUUAGAAAAUUAAUUACCAAGUCAGAAGAAUAUUCACGUUUAUUUUCUUUUGUGUUGUGAUUUUACUUUGUCCUUAUCCAUCAAUCAGCCAUGAAUGUGGAAGUGUGUGGAUGUGUGACACUGUGUGUAUAAGUGUGUGUGUGUGUGUGUGCAGCCACAAGCACACUGUGAGGUGAAGAUUCAACUAGAUAUUUUUAACUUGC
rnacentral:lncRNA from 1 species